rnacentral:rRNA from 1 species
GAUGAACGCUGGCGGCGUGCCUAAUACAUGCAAGUCGAGCGAACAGACGAGGAGCUUGCUCCUCUGACGUUAGCGGCGGACGGGUGAGUAACACGUGGAUAACCUACCUAUAAGACUGGGAUAACUUCGGGAAACCGGAGCUAAUACCGGAUAAUAUAUUGAACCGCAUGGUUCAAUAGUGAAAGACGGUUUUGCUGUCACUUAUAGAUGGAUCCGCGCCGCAUUAGCUAGUUGGUAAGGUAACGGCUUACCAAGGCGACGAUGCGUAGCCGACCUGAGAGGGUUACAGGCCACACGGGAACUGAGACACGGUCCAGACUCCUAGGGGAGGGAGCAGUAGGGAAUCUUCCGCAAUGGGCGGAAGCCUGACGGAGCAAAGCCGCGUGGGUGAUGAAGGUUUUCGGAACGUAAAACUCUGUUAUUAGGGAAGAACAAAUGUGUAAGUAACUAUGCACGUCUUGACGGUACCUAAUCAGAAAGCCACGGCUAACUACGUG